CUUCACAGCCUUCAUAAUCAAGGGUUUCUGCUUUUGCAUCUUCCUCAUUUUCUCUUGCUGCCACCAUGUAAGAAGUACCUUUUGCCUCUCUCCAUGAUUCUGCGGCCUCCCCAGUCAUGUGGAACUAUGGCAUUAGAAGUGGAACCCAAAGUAGAGCCUCUUGCAACCCCCAGAAGCACCAAGAGACCAAGAAAAAUACCUACCAGGCCCAUUGUGUUCAUUGCUCUCUUGCAGAAACUGGUGA